CAACUGCUGCAGUUUUUUAGCACUUCAGAGCUUCUAGAGAUCCAGAUAAAAUAGCUUUAGCGAACCAUCAUUCUCCUCAGAAUGAAUCAAGUGGGUUUAAAAUAGGGAUUACCUGCGUGGCUUAGUACAGCUGAGUCCCACCCCAAAUCUCAAUCUUUCCCGGAAUUAGUUUUCAUUAGGCUACCUCAGCUCACUUAGAUUUUCUUGCCCCUCAGGCUCUCGGCUCUUACUCAGGUACGUCUCUACUACCCAGCCCCUCCCGAUGACGUUUAUCCUACCAAGAGCUGGCUUCCUCCGCCUAUGGGCUCCUGGAUCUCUUCUUUUAAAGACUUCAGGAUUAUUUUGCUUUUUUCCUGUUUGUUUAUUUUAAUAGGCAGUCACUGCGAUGGCCAAGCUUCAGUGCAUUCAUGCACUCUGGCAAUAAAUGGUUUGCAAAAUGGUGUGGUUAAGGCUGGAGAUGUGAGACACUUUAAUGACUGGCACAGGUUUGUGGAAGGAUUUUUCCACAUCUUGAAAAUCCUUUACAUGAGCCUGACUAAAUUUUGUUCGAAACCUUACUUCCCCACAGAUUUUGCUGUGAAUUUGAAAAUGCCAAGAUCCCAAACCAAGCACUUUGUUUGUUAUGACUGAGUUGUGCUCACUAAAGAGGGAAAGAAAUGAUAUGGAGGCAUGAAUUUAGGGGAAAUGAUGCAAAAUGAAAGCAGCAGGUUCUGCAUAGUCAGGGCAGGAGCUGCAACUCUCAGGCAGAAAGCAAGAAAGGGGAACUCGGAGUGAGAAUAAGCCCGCUUGGGUUGCGAGUUACAUUUUUGGAGAAUAACAAUAUCCUUCAAUAAAGUAGCCCAGUACAGUGGCUGUUUUAUUGUGCGAACCCAUGUUCAUGUCUUUUCUUCUGUAUUUGGACGGCGUAAUCAAAUACCCCUUCUCUGCGUAUUCCCGAGAUAAGGAGGUUUUCUAGGAGCUGCUUUCAGGGCACAAUAAAGAGAGAGGGUACUUCACGAGCCUCCAAACAUUUGAAGGCUUUAACCGAGCUUGAACCAGACUGUCUGGAACAUGUCCAUCACCAGUUAAAGCUGUAAUGAAAGAGAUUUGAAAAGAUAUGGCUGCUUUCUUUGUGUUUUCAGAUGAAAAUACUCCUUGGCUUUCCUUUGUGCAGGAGUGUUUGGCCAGAACUCUUAGGGGAAAACUGAGAAGCCAAACCACAUGCUAGUUUACUGAGAUACUACUAGGUGAAUGAAUAAAUAAUGGGUAGAUAAAUAAUUGAAUCUCAGAUUUUUUUUUUGAUGUUGUAAACAAAGAUUGAAAGUAGUCAUUGGGGAAAUCUUACUCUUCUUAUCUAGUACUCAGGAUUCAUUCCAUUAGAAGUAUUUUCUUCUGAAGUGACUAUAUGAAUAAGCACAUAUUAGCUGUAUUAAUUCCGUCUGUAUUUCACACCUGUAGAUCAUGUGAGCUGGGUGUUGUUUUGGCAAGUACAGUAUAUCCUCGGCUCAAGGCAGUUCUAAACAUUAACCUGUCAGCCAGUCUUUCUAUCUGCCCUUAUUAAGGGCUUAUAAAAAAUAAAUAAGAAUAUAAUUCUACUGUGUUCCAAUACCAAUUAAUGCAAAAUUUUGCAUAUUAUAUUCUGAGGUCUGAGUACAGUAGUGGCAGAGAGGAACUAUUGGGUUGCAAAGCCUACAUUGCUGUGAGUUUCUUCGAUGAGUAGGUGGGUCCACAGGCCUUUCCUCCCUCUGCAUCACAACAAAGCCGAAUUUCCUUGUGCUCUUUCUACUUUCCGCUCGAAAGGAGGGAGCUGCUGAGACCUGUCCUUCUGGGGACCAGGUUCCUGCUCUGCCUGGCUGAGAAGCAGAACUUGGCUUCCAGCUCCAGCAGCUCAGUCGAGAGCUCCAGCCUUCACCUCUCUUCUGAGCUGAAUUUUUCUGUCUGCUGCGGUACCCGUGCAUAGUUAAAUAUUCAUAUGCUCUUUGCAUUAAAAUGUAUUUGAGAUCUGUUAGGCAAGUCACUUAACAUUUCUCUUCCAGUUAUAUCCAUUGGUAAAAUGAAGAUUAGAUCUUUGGGAACAGCUUGAGUUUGAGCGUUGGCCCGUCCUGCAAGAAGGGAUCCCUAAUAGUGGUGGUAGCCCAUUCCGGGCUGCCCUGAUUUCUGCCAAGGUGACUCUGUCUGACACCCUCUGACUUUAAUCUCCAUGUCACAGCACAAGAUGAAGGUAAACCUGUAGCCCGAGGCAUUGCGUGGGAGGAGGUUUUACAGUCACGUUAGCAUGUAAUCUCGGGCACCCAUGCCCUAGUGUUGGUGGUAUGAGCGCUCUCGAGCCGUGCCAUAGCUCUCCUGCCGCUCCCCAACCCUGCGGAGUCCCUGUCACCGCACGGGAACUCAAUGCCGGGGAGGAUGGGGACCGAAGUUAAGGCUGGUCCCUCCUAGGCCCUCUCGUAUUUAGGUAUGGUCUUCCCUUUGCAAGACGCUGUGUACUUCCAUUUACAGCUUGCAGUUCCCCUUUACAGGAAAGGGUCCGAGCAGAGCGCUUUUGAAGGCAGAGGGAUGAACUCAUACUUAAGAUCUGCGGCAUCGCUAGGUAUUGUAAUUCCCUGCCCCUGUAACUGAUGGCAAGUCUUCUAAUGAUGGCAGAGGAAACAAUCUCUUGAGUUUCCGGAAGGUUGACCAUGGGCGCUGUGCUGCAGGAGCUGGGACUUCUAUUUCUUAAAUGGCAGUGUGGAAGUAAGAGUGAAAAUAUUUUUCAAAGCAGUAAAAUAUAAACUAAACUCAGUGGGAAAGGGAAAUGUGUGCUAAUAUACAGUGCAUAUAUAUGUGUGUGUGUGUGCACAUGCGUGUGCAUGAGUAUAUAUCUAUAUGUACUUCUGUAGUGUGUGUGUUUCAGGCAGCAAAUCACACACCCAGAAAUGUUGGCUCCUCUUUAGGCAUAACAUGUUGAAACAGGGUAUUUCUCUCCCUAACUAGAAAGAAAACAAAAUUCCACUUUGGACUGGACUGGACUCCUUUGCUCUGUUCCCGGACAUUGUUGUCUUUUCUCUGUAGUAUUUGCUAUUCUCGUUUCCUUCAAGUAUGCCUUGUCUCUUCACAAAGCAAUUUGGGACAACUUGGAUGAAAGCCACCAGAUAGAAAUACACUUUUAAGGGAAAGAAAAAAAAACAUUAAAAGGGUUGUAGACAGUUUCAUCCUCUUAGAACAAAGUGCUUAUAACAGUGUGUUUGGAAAACCUAUUGAGCCUAUGGCACUUACUUCCAGGAAAGAAAGACAAUGUCUUUUGUGCUGCUCACAUUUAUCUGCCAAGACUCUUUUAUGAGAGAUCACAGGAGACCUUUCUUUCAAGGCUGUAGAUUAUACAAACAGACUAUUUUGUAUAAUCUUAAAGGUGAACUAAGCGGGAGCUCAAAGUGCUGAAAAUCAGGCCAAUUUUGCUCAGAUGCUUCACUUGCGGGUCCUCAAACAAUUGCAGAUUUGGCUCGACUCUUUAAAAUCUCUUGCGAGGGCUGCUCCAGAUCAGCAUCUGUCUUCUGAUAUUUUUUUCCAGACUUUUUUUCAGCUGCAAACCUCAGGAUAUUUAGCCACUCUUUCGGUGCUGCAUGGGAGCAGCAGCACCGCGGGCGUCACGGGCCGCUGCUGGGUUCACGGCUGUCUCGUAAGCAAGCGAGCCUGUGUGUGCAGCAGAUAUAAUGAGAAGAGGUGAGUUGGAGCAACUGCGCAAAGCAUUCCUGCCGGCUCGCGCUCGUCUCCCUUAGUAUGCAGGUCAUGUGCAAUGCAUGGUGCAGAGUCACUGAUGUAAUUGCCAAGUUUCCAGCAUCAUGUUAUGAUUCAUCUCUAACGAGUCAGUUAUCGGAAACCGAGCAAAUAACAGCCCUAUUUGAGAUCAGUUAAGACACAAGGAGAUCCAACAUCAUUUUGUUGCGUCUACAGAAGAACAAAUCUGCAUGGUCUUGGGAUCGCUGAAAAUUAGUAUCUUCCUUGUCAGAAAGAAAAGGAUAAUCUCACAAGACUUUUUAAGAUGUUCCUGGCAGUAAGGUCAAAGGAGGAGCUGAGAGAUUUCUGUUUGAACACGUGACAGUUCACAUAGGCGCCCAACAAGCCUGGGAUAUUCAUCUGCUGUUGCCUUUAGGAUUCUAGGGAUCUCUUUCAGAAAGCAAAGUGGAGAUACUGAAGAUGGAUGUUGGCGUGCACUGAACUUUGAAAAUCUGCCCCCUUGGUAGCUAUGACAACUAGUGAUGGAUUCUGGGGUAUCACAAGCAAAUAUGAAAGCCAUGACAGCGAAGGCACUCUACAAAUACCUCAAAUUUGGGUCCAAGUGUGUUCACAUCUCAGAGGCUGUGUUUGUCUGUGAGAGCCUGAAAGGCUUCAAAAGAAGUUGGGGGAAAAGGAAAAAAGAAAAAAGCAUCGUGUGAAAUGAGGUUUGCUUUUAGGGCCCUGAACUGUUUUUCUGUAUGCGACUCCACCCGCUCGGUGCGAGACUCUCCUUUCAGUGGAGAAGCUGGACAGGGACGUCC